GGAAUAUUGGACAAUGGGCGCAAGCCUGAUCCAGCCAUCCCGCGUGCAGGAAGAAGGCCCUAUGGGUUGUAAACUGCGUUUGUCAGGGAAUAAACCUCCGGAUUCACUCUGGAGCUGAAGGUACCUGAAGAAUAAGCACCGGCUAACUCCGUGACAGCAGCCGCGGUAAUACGGAGGGUGCAAGCGUUAUCCGGAAUCACUGGGUUUAAAGGGUGCGUAGGUGGCAUUGUAAGUCAGAAGUGAAAGUUUGCGGCUUAACCGUAAAAUUGCUUUUGAUACUGUGAUGCUUGAAUCAGGUUGAGGUUGGCGGAAUGUAGCAUGUAGCGGUGAAAUGCUUAGAUAUGCCAUAGAACACCGAUUGCGAAGGCAGCUGACUGGACCUGUAUUGACGCUGAGGCACGAAAGCGUGGGGAGCGAAC
rnacentral:rRNA from 1 species